rnacentral:rRNA from 1 species
UUUCCGGUUGAUCCUGCCAGAGGUUACUGCUAUCGGGGUUCGAUUAAGCCAUGCGAGUCAAAUGUUCUUAGUGAACAUGGCGAACUGCUCAGUAACACGUGGAUAACUUACCCUCUGGACUGGCAUAACCCCGGGAAACUGGGGAUAAUUCCAGAUAGACCAGAGAUGCUGGAAUGCUCUUUGGUUAAAAGUUUUUAACGCCAUAGGAUAGGUCUGCGGUCUAUCAGGUUGUAGUGGGUGUAACGUACCUACUAGCCGACAACGGAUACGGGUCGUGAGAGCAAGAGCCCGGAGAUGGAUUCUGAGACACGAAUCCAGGCCCUACGGGGUGCAGCAGGCGCGAACACUUUACAAUGCGGGAAACCGCGAUAAGGGAACCCCGAGUGCCAGUACUAAGUGCUGGCUGUCCAAAUGAAUAAAAAUCAUUUGAUAGCAAGGGCCGGGCAAGACCGGUGCCAGCCGCCGCGGUAACACCGGCGGCCCGAGUGGUAACCGAUUUUAUUGGGUCUAAAGGGUCCGUAGCCGGCUUGAUAAGUCCUUUGGGAAAUCUGGUAGCUUAAGUAUCAGGCUUCUAAGGGAUACUGUCAGGCUUGGGACCGGGAGAGGUAAGGGGUACUCCAGGGGUAGGAGUGAAAUCUUGUAAUCCCUGGGGGACCAUCUGUGGCGAAGGCGCCUUACCAGAACGGGUCCGACGGUGAGGGACGAAAGCUAGGGGAGCAAACCGGAUUAGAUACCCGGGUAGUCCUAGCUGUAAACGAUGCUCGCUAGGUGUCAGGCACGGUGCGACCGUGUCUGGUGCCGUAGGGAAGCCGCUAAGCGAGCCACCUGGGAAGUACGGUCGCAAGGCUGAAACUUAAAGGAAUGGCGGGGCAGCACACAAACAAGUUUCC